rnacentral:rRNA from 1 species
UCGAAGGUAGCAUAAUCAGUAGUUUUUUAAUUGAAAACUCGUAUGAAAGGUUGAACAAAAAAUUAGCUGUUUCAUAAAAAUUUUAUUAAAACUUUACUUUUUAGUUAAAAGGCUAAAAUAAUUUUAAAAGACGAGAAGACCCUAUAGAGUUUAAUUUAAUUUUUAAUUUUAUUAAUUAAGUAUAUUUAAAUUAAAGUUAAUAAUUAAAUUUUGUUGGGGUGACAAUAAAAUUUAAUUUACUUUUAUUUUUUAUUAACAUAAAUUUAUGAAUUAUUUGAUCCAAUUUUAUUGAUUAAAAAAUUAAAUUACCUUAGGGAUAACAGCGUAAUUUUUUUUUAGAGAUCUUAUCAAUAAAAAUUUUUGCGACCUCGAUGUUGGAUUAA